rnacentral:lncRNA from 1 species
GUCAUCUUUAGUGUUCCACUAAAAGUCCUCUCAUCACAACAUUGGCAUGAAGCAUAACAUCUCUAUCGUCUACAUUACUACUAAAACGUGACCUAUUACGAUGUUUUCAGCCUUUCAGUAUCUAGUGUCUAUCUAUCUAUCUAUUAUCAAGUGUCCCGUUGUGAGUUGAAAUUUAUUUUGGAGCAUGAAAGACCUCUCUUCAUCUCACUAUGCACAAAAGAGCAUAAAGCUGAAAUAAUAGUGCAUUGUCCCUGUGACUCAGCAAGAAUAAAAUAUGCCUGAUUCCCACAGUGAAUUAUACAGUCCUCCGGCAGAUGAUUUAUUGAAUGGGAGAACUGCGUUUGUAAUAAAAGCAGAAGAAAUUAUUGUCCUAUGUUAAUAUGGGAAAUUUGAUUGGAAUUGAUACAAGGGCAGUAGAAAACAGUAAAUUACUGUGUUCCAGCCAGGGUUGCUUUUUUGAAGCUUGGCUAGAAAUUGACACAUUUCUUUUCUCUUUUUUGACUUGACUGGUCAUUACAUAAAACUUUUUUAUAUGAAAUUCUAUAACCAGCACAGCUGAUGGGACUGUGUGAUUUUAUGUUUUGAUUACUUUAUGGUUUGGUGCAUAGAAAGAAACAAUGCUAUAAGCUACAAACUUUACCCUUUGUAAGGCUGGUUGAUUAAUUCCAGUGGUUUCGGGCAUUCCCUUGUCGGCCUGGGAUCAUGGCAACACGAGGGAGAAAAAGAAGCUUCAUGGAGUGCAAGCUGGAGACACUGUUAUGUGAGGUUGAAGCUCGGAAGUGUAUUAUUUUCGGCAUGUUGUCCUCUGGUUUCAGUGCAAAGCCGUGGGACCGAGUGUGUGCAGCUGUGAAUGCAGCAGGGUCCGAGAUGUACACAGUCUCGGACAUAAAAAAAAUCGUCGGACAUAAAGGUGGACGUGAAACGCAAGAUGGUCGUCCAAAGAACAAAGUGUCACCAAAACAGGCGGGGUUCAAGGGAAAGGUGAACUCACCCCCUUUGAUACAAAGAGUUGCUGGGAUUGUGGGUGACACUGCUUUCACAGGGGCGGUAACACCACACAUGGGGGAUUCGGAGGUCCUUCAAGAUAGACACAGUGGAGGACACGUGGAAAACCAGUGGACUACACUGGCACCAGCGCUGCCAGUAGCGCAUUCUAUGGGAAUUUGAUAUAUCGUAAUGACAUACUGUACGAGUAAUUGCCUCCCACACAGCAGGCAUGGCUUGGCUCAGGCUCGACUGACAUAUACCCGACUUGUCUGCCAGCUCCCUCUGGAUGCACCUGUGGCUAGAAACCCUAGUGUGGUCAGCAGCUGGAUGUGCACUAGCACAGCGCGACUUCUAGUUGUGUCCCGCUCCAAGAACAGCCGCAAGUCCUCACAAAGCUCAAGAAGGCUCACUUGCAGAAAUCAGAAACGGCUAAUGAGCCACUUGUCAUCAUUUGCCAGAAGGUCCUGCCUGUCUCUGAAUACACGCUCCCUUUGCACUCUGCUAUUCGCAAGAUCCUCUAACAGGGCUAGAGCCAUUAUAAUAGAUGACAUUUAGCACCGUUUUGCGCACGUUUUUAUAUCCCCUCGUCUUAUUGCUGCCACGUGGCUUUAUUGAUUGUUUAUCAUCUUUCUCCGGUGUGACUAACGAUCGCUUUCACAUGAUGAAUAAUGUGUUUUACCUCUUGCUGUCCCUAAUGGAGCAAUAGCUGUAGAAAAGUACUUACGCCGGCCAACGAGCUUGUGUAAAUUUGCACACAUUUUUAGUUUUGAUUUUCUUGAUACAUCUUACCUUAGGUGUAAAUUCGUACUUACGCCAGGAUUUGCUGUGUAACUACUGUUUGUACAUGAGGCUGGGAUUCCCAGUAUUUCAUGGGGUUCUACUUGGGUUUUACUCAGUUUUGUGAAGUCCAUCAGGUUGGGUCAAUGUAUCUGGUUUUCUGGACCUUCUCUGUGUGGAUCCAUGGCUUCAUCAAUAAAGUGUGAAUUAUCUGCCA